GUCAGGAUGGCCGAGCGGUCUAAGGCGCCAUGCCUAGGUAGCUCUCCUCUGGAGGCGUGGGUUCGAAUCCCACUUCUGACA